AUGGCGCCGGCUCAGGGCUGCCCGCCCGAAACACCGAUCCCCGGCCUGAACCUCCUGGGUGGCACCUCGGGCUGGCACACGCCUGAGGAGUGUGUCUGUUUGCAGUGGGGAAGAUUAGGAGUUUUGGGUUCCUUAAAAAAACCAAAAAAACCAAAAACUGAAAACCCCCACUUUUCGUGACAAACCCAUUCUCCAAGCAAAGCAGGUUCCAGGUUUUUGGGCAAUCAUGGCCUCCAGUUCUCUCCUCCAAGGAGUCCAUGAGGAGCCUGUGUUGGGGAUGGACCUUAGUGGGUCCCAUUAAUGCUUUGAGACACUUUGGGUUUUUCUUCUGCCUUGGACUCCUGGAAAGAUAAAUCCUUUGUGUUGCUCCAUGUUGUAGCAUUUUGACAGCAAUCGUUCUCUUUGUUGGUGCUGUUUCUGGGAUGCUGUUAACAAAAUUCAUCCUCAUCUGAUGAUGAUGCCCACCCAGCAGCUCCAUCGCCAGUACGGCCAGAGCCGGGCAGAGGCGAGACCUCGGCAGGAUGGAACCUUUCCUGGAGGAUGAGGUGCAGCUUCUCUCACAAGAUGUGCCACCAACUGAAGAAUGACUCUUGCAGCAAAGCAGGACAAAAGUUUUGAGAACUUGACAACUUGUUCUUUCCUUUCCUUGUGAGCUGAAGAACUGUGCCAUGGCAAGGCUAUUUGCAUGCCAUGAAAUGAGAACCCUGAGCUUGUGGAACUGCCUGAAGGAUGCCCUGUUCCUCUGCAGGACACUCAGGCUGAAACAGGAGCCUGGGCCCUCUCUGGGGAAGCCUCCUCCGAGCUGGAAUUUGUGCCGUGCUGGGAGAGGAGGAGCAGGGGAGAAGGCUGGGCGCUGUGUGGCAGGAGCAGGAGGUUUGGGCCGCAGGACAUUCCGCCUGCGCCGCUGCCCCGCAAUGGGCGGCCGUGCCCGGGGCUCUGGGCCCGGCCCCGCGUGCGCUGAGCUCCCGACACUGCGGGAGCUGCCCGGGCUGGGCUCAGGAUCCUGCUGGGGCUGGGCAGCAGGCUGGGCUCCCACUGGGACCAGCAGCAGCUGGAAAUACCUCUGGGCAUCUUCAUUUUCUGCUGCUGCUCAGAAGGUACAGUGAAGCGAGGAGAAAAGUUCUGGUAUCUCUUUGUCCUGGUGGAUUUUUUCAUUUUAUUUGACACUCCAGAGGCAAUUUCUGUGAUUCUAUUUCAGCAGCACCAUCAACAGGGCUGUGUUUGAGCACUGCCAAUGGGGCCUGCAUGUCUUUAAUUCUCCUCGACUUUGUGCUCAGGGACUUGUGAACAUUUCAAAUCUGCAAAUCAUGAUGCCUGUGACAAACAGCCCAAGUUUCCUGUCACAAAAGCACUCUGGGUAACACUGACUGAAAAAGGCAAUUUUAGUUUUUUGGAUUAAAUUCAAGUGGCAAGCAGAAAAGGGGCAAGGGCAGCCAUGAUUUACAAUUCCUGAGGCAAAAGCAACUAAAGCCUCCUGCUGUCACCUCAGGGUGAGUAAAACAGGGUUGAAUGUGGCGCUGGAAUCCAACCCUUUCUCUCUCUGAAGGUUGGGUCAGGGCAGCACCAGCGGCCCUGAGGAAUCAGGGCUGUGUGUGGGUGGUUGCUGCUCUGCUCCAGAAUUCACCUGCAAAAAGCCCUUGGGAGCGAGGCAGGAGCAGGUGGGAAGGGGCCGGUGCUGCUGCUACUCCUGCCCGGGAGCCCCGGCUGGGCCGGGCCAGCGCCCACUGAGCUGCGGCUCCUGCUGCUGCCAGAGCCGGGCGGGACUGGGGACAGGGAAUGGACACGGGGACAGCAAAGGCCUUGGGCAGGACUGGGGACAGGGAAUGGACACGGGGACAGCAAAGGCCUU